rnacentral:rRNA from 1 species
GAGACCGGCGCACGGGUGCGUAACGCGUAUGCAAUCUACCUUUUGCAGAGGGAUAGCCCAGAGAAAUUUGGAUUAAUACCUCAUAGUAUGUGAGAAUGGCAUCAUUUUCACAUUAAAGUCACAACGGCAAAAGAUGAGCAUGCGUCCCAUUAGCUAGUUGGUAAGGUAACGGCUUACCAAGGCAACGAUGGGUAGGGGUCCUGAGAGGGAGAUCCCCCACACUGGUACUGAGACACGGACCAGACUCCUACGGGAGGCAGCAGUGAGGAAUAUUGGACAAUGGGCGCAAGCCUGAUCCAGCCAUGCCGCGUGCAGGAUGACGGUCCUAUGGAUUGUAAACUGCUUUUGUACAGGAAGAAACACUCCCUCGUGAGGGAGCUUGACGGUACUGUAAGAAUAAGGAUCGGCUAACUCCGUGCCAGCAGCCGCGGUAAUACGGAGGAUCCAAGCGUUAUCCGGAAUCAUUGGGUUUAAAGGGUCCGUAGGCGGUUUAGUAAGUCAGUGGUGAAAGCCCAUCGCUCAACGGUGGAACGGCCAUUGAUACUGCUAGACUUGAAUUAUUAGGAAGUAACUAGAAUAUGUAGUGUAGCGGUGAAAUGCUUAGAGAUUACAUGGAAUACCAAUUGCGAAGGCAGGUUACUACUAAUGGAUUGACGCUGAUGGACGAAAGCGUGGGUAGCGAACAGGAUUAGAUACCCUGGUAGUCCACGCCGUAAACGAUGGAUACUAGCUGUUGGGCGCAAGUUCAGUGGCUAAGCGAAAGUGAUAAGUAUCCCACCUGGGGAGUACGUUCGCAAGAAUGAAACUCAAAGGAAUUGACGGGGGCCCGCACAAGCGGUGGAGCAUGUGGUUUAAUUCGAUGAUACGCGAGGAACCUUACCAAGGCUUAAAUGUAGAUUGACCGGUUUGGAAACAGACUUUUCGCAAGACAAUUUACAAGGUGCUGCAUGGUUGUCGUCAGCUCGUGCCGUGAGGUGUCAGGUUAAGUCCUAUAACGAGCGCAACCCCUGUUGUUAGUUGCCAGCGAGUCAUGUCGGGAACUCUAACGAGACUGCCAGUGCAAACUGUGAGGAAGGUGGGGAUGACGUCAAAUCAUCACGGCCCUUACGCCUUGGGCUACACACGUGCUACAAUGGCCGGUACAGAGAGCAGCCACUGGGUGACCAGGAGCGAAUCUACAAAGCCGGUCACAGUUCGGAUCGGAGUCUGCAACUCGA